GACGAACGCUGGUGGCGUGCUUAACACAUGCAAGUCGAACGGAAAGGCCCUGCUUUUGUGGGGUGCUCGAGUGGCGAACGGGUGAGUAACACGUGAGUAACCUGCCCUUGACUUUGGGAUAACUUCAGGAAACUGGGGCUAAUACCGGAUAGGAGCUCCUGCUGCAUGGUGGGGUUGGAAAGUUUCGGCGGUUGGGGAUGGACUCGCGGCUUAUCAGCUUGUUGGUGGGGUAGUGGCUUACCAAGGCUUUGACGGGUAGCCGGCCUGAGAGGGUGACCGGCCACAUUGGGACUGAGAUACGGCCCAGACUCCUACGGGAGGCAGCAGUGGGGAAUAUUGCACAAUGGGCGGAAGCCUGAUGCAGCAACGCCGCGUGCGGGAUGACGGCCUUCGGGUUGUAAACCGCUUUCGCCUGUGACGAAGCGUGAGUGACGGUAAUGGGUAAAGAAGCACCGGCUAACUACGUG
rnacentral:rRNA from 1 species